GUUCUCGUGACAAGUCGUCAUUUAAUUUUGCGCAUGCGCACUGACCACUCAACCACUUGUAUACUAAAACACCUGUCGUGCUGUGUAGAUGAAAUAAACACAGAACGAGUAUUGGACUGGCAACAACAUGAAUCCCAACUAUCCAUAUGGUCCUUAUCCUCCCUUCCAAGGCCCAUGCCCACAACCACCUUAUGCAGCGUGGUGUGGUCCCUAUAAUCCACCAGUGAACACAGGCUUUUUUCCAGGAGGACCUGGGCCUCAUCAUAAUCAUAAUCCUGGCUCUUUGCUUAAUCACAUACCUGGGCUGCAUCACCAUGGGCACCACCAUGGGCACCACCAUGGGCAUCACCAUGGGCACCACCAUGGGCACCACCAUGGGCACCACCAUGGGCAUCAUCAUGGGCAUUGCUAACAUGGUAAAUCUAAAAAGCAUGAACCUCUGGCAGCCGUUUGUGAUGACUGAAGUGCAUGUGAAGAGCCUCCUCAUACGGAACAAUCUCCCUGACCUUCUGACAUCGCUGGUCGAUUGCCUUGCUUUACAUUAAAAAAGAAAAUGAUUAAUAAUCACUCAGAAAUGUUUUCUUCUUGCAUGCAUUUACCAGUGGGACUACAUAAUAUGAUAAUAAUUAUUAUUGGAAAAUGGGAAUAUUCAAUAAAAUUAAUUAAAUAAAAUUGAAAUAAA